rnacentral:piRNA from 1 species
UCCUCUUACAGGGUUGCCCUCCUCCUCAGC